UCCGGUUGAUCCUGCCGGAGGCCACUGCUAUUGGGGUUCGGCUAAGCCAUGCGAGUGGUGGGCGUUCCGAAAGGGAUGGCCCCGCACACGGCUCAGUAACACGUAGUUAACCUGCCCUCGGGACGGGAGCAACGCCGGGAAACUGGCGAUAAUUCCAGAUAGGUGGGGGACGCUGGAAUGCCUCCUUGCCUAAAUCCUCUGGGGCCCGAGGAUGGGACUGCGGCCUAUCAGGCUGUUGGCGGUGUAACGGACCACCAAACCUACAACGGGUACGGGCGAUGGGAGUCGGAGCCCGGAGAUGGGGACUGAGACAAGGCCCCAGGCCCUACGGGGCGCAGCAGGUACGAAAACUCCGCAAUGCGCGAAAGCGUGACGGGGGAACCCCAAGUGCCGUUGGUCUUUGAUCGACGGCUUUUAGGGAGUCUAAGAAGCUCCCAGAAUAAGGGCUGGGCAAGUCGGGUGCCAGCCGCCGCGGUAAUACCCGCAGCCCAAGUGGUGGUCGCGAUUAUUGGGCCUAAAGCGCUCGUAGCCGGGUCAGCAAGUCCCUUGUGAAAUCGGGCGGCCUAACCGUUCGGCUUGCAAGGGAUACUGUUGGUCUUGAGGCCGGGAGACGUCUGAGGUACUCCGGGGGUAGCGGUAAAAUGCUGUAAUCCUCGGGGGACCACCAGUGGCGAAGGCGUCAGACGAGAACGGACCUGACGGUGAGGGGCGAAGGCUAGGGGAGCGAACGGGAUUAGAUACCCCGGUAGUCCUAGCUGUAAAGCAUGCGGGCCAGGUGUCUGGUGUUCCUUGAGAGCACCAAGUGCCGGAGGGAAGCCGUUAAGCCCGCCGCCUGGGAAGUACGGUCGCAAGGCUGAAACUUAAAGGAAUUGGCGGGA
rnacentral:rRNA from 1 species